CGCGUAGGCGGGGAGGUAAGUCGGGUGUGAAAUCCCUCGGCCCAACCGAGGAACUGCGCCCGAAACUGCUUCUCUUGAGUCCCGGAGAGGAAGAUGGAAUUCCCGGUGUAGCGGUGAAAUGUGUAGAGAUCGGGAGGAACACCGGUGGCGAAGGCGGUCUUCUGGACGGUGACUGACGCUGAGGCGCGAAAGCGUGGGGAGGCAAAACGG
rnacentral:rRNA from 1 species